UGACUGUUGUUUGCGUCUUGAUGACUUUUAUGUAGCAUAUCUUAUAGUAUGAACUAUAUCUAAAUUAUAUAAUCUAAUUAUAAAAUUUAAGAAUUUUUUUAUUAUUAAAAAAGAAUGGUUAUUCAAUAUAAUAAGAAAAUACUUUAAUGACUUUUACUUUUUGUGGAGACUUGACAUUUCUUUCCAAGUAUUUCACAGUACUGUUGAAGAAUUUCUAACCUAUUUUAUAGUUUUGUAAAAUUUCAUGCAAAAUGUAUUUGAAUAUACCAGAUGUUUACACAGGUGUUAAUUGAGCUUCCUCUAUUAUGCUUUACUUUCCUUAUCAUAGAAGUGCUAAAGAUUUGAUUGACAUCUUAAUGGAUCAUGAUAAUUAUUAUCACAUAAACUGCUGAGAAGAGCCUACUUGAAAAGCCCCAAACAUCCUCCAAGCAUGCUCCGUGCUUCCUCGUAAGAAUAAAUCUAUGAUCCCUAAUGUAUGGUUGGUAGUGUAUGAUGGUGGAUUGUCUGGUGGUAGUGUAUGAUUGGUGGAAGGUAUGUUUGUAGUGCAUGAUAGGUGGAAGGUAUGUUGGUAGUGCAUGAUUGUUGGAAGGUAUGUUGGUAGUGUAUGAUUGGUGGAAAGUAAUAUAUUAGUGAAUGAUUGGUGGAAGAUGAAAUAAUUGUAUAUGAUUGGUGGAAGGUAUGUUGGUAGUGCAUGAUUGGUGGAAGGUAUGUUGGAACUGUAUGACUGGUGGAAGGUAGGUUGAUAGUGUAUGAUUGGUGGAAGGUAUGUUGGUAGUGUAUGAUUGGUGGAAGGUAUGUUGGUAGUGUAUGAUUGGUGGAAGGUAUGUUGAUAGUGUAUGAUUGGUGGAAGGUAUGUUGGUAGUGUAUGAUUGG